UGCUCGCUUCGGCAGCAAUAUACUAAAAUUGGAACGAUACAGAAGAAGAUUAAGCAUGGCCCCUGCGCAAGCAUUUGUGGCAGCUGAACUGCAUGAUGAAUUA
ensembl:snRNA U6 U6 spliceosomal RNA